ensembl:lncRNA
GAGAAGUUCAGAUGCUGGUUGUUACAACAUAUGGAUGACUUGCUGUUGGCUGCCAAGAACAGCAAAGAGUGCUGGGAAGGGACCAAGGCUCUACUAGAGCGGUUGAUGGAGUCCGGCUACCAAGUCUCGAAAAAGAAGGCACAGAUCUGCAAAGAGGAGGCUGUUCUGCUUGCUCAGAUGUCAAUGCUGCCCUUGGACAUAAACAAAAACUUCCAGGAAUACAGUUAAAAGGCACUCUACCCUUUGAACAUUUAGAAGUGGAC